rnacentral:rRNA from 1 species
ACAUCCAAGGAAGGCAGCAGGCGCGCAAAUUACCCACUCUCAAAACGAGGAGGUAGUGAAGAGAAAUAACGAUGUUAGUCUAUUAUAGGCUGACAAUCGGAAUGGGAACACUGUAAACAGGUUAUCGAUUAACAAUUGGAGGGCAAGUCUGGUGCCAGCAGCCGCGGUAAUUCCAGCUCCAAUAAGGAAAACUAAAGUUGCUGUGUUUAAAAAGCUCGUAGUUGAAUUUCGGGUAUUUGUUGCUAGCUGGUCUCACUGGCCAUGUUGGUUAACAGAUCCUCAUUUGCUGGACGGCUGGCGAUGAUCUUUAUCGAUUGUCGUCAGUUGCCAGAACGUUUACUUUGAGAAAAUUAGAGUGCUAAAAGCAGGCUCACGCCUAUAUAUAUUGCAUGGAAUAAUGAAAUAAGAUCUCGAUUUUAUUUCGUUGGUUUUAGAAAUUGAGAUAAUGAUUAAUAGGAUCAGAGGGGGGCGUACGUACUGUGGUGUGAGAGGUGAAAUUCUUGGAUCGCCACAGGACGAACAGCAGCGAAGGCGUUCGCCAAGAAUGUUUUCAUUAAUCAAGAACGAAAGUUUGAGGUUCGAAGACGAUUAGAUACCGUCCUAGUUCAAACCAUAAACGUUGCCAACUGUCUUUUAGAUGCGGUUAUUUACAUGACUCAUCUGGCGGAUCUCGAGAAAUCUAAGUUUUUAGGUUCCGGGGGAAGUAUGGUUGCAAAGCUGAAACUUAAAAGAAUUGACGGAAGGACACACAGAAGUGGAGCCUGUGGCCUAAUUUGACUCAACACGGGAAACCUUACUCGGCCAGG